rnacentral:rRNA from 1 species
AGAGUUUGAUCAUGGCUCAGGACGAACGCUGGCGGCGUGCUUAACACAUGCAAGUGGAGCGACGAACCAGGGCUUGCCCUGGGGCAGAGCCGCGAACGGGUGUGUAACACGUGGGUUACCUGCCUCGAUGACCGGGACAACCCGAGGAAACUCGGGCUAAUACCGGAUGUGCCCGCAAGGGGAAAGGAAGCUUCGGCCUCCGCAUUGAGAUGGGCCCGCGGCCCAUUAGCUUGUUGGUGAGGUAACGGCUCACCAAGGCUUCGAUGGGUAGCUGGUCUGAGAAGACGAUCAGCCACACUGGGACUGAGACACGGCCCAGACUCCUACGGGAGGCAGCAGUGGGGAAUCUUGCGCAAUGCGCGAAAGCGUGACGCAGCAACGCCGCGUGGGGGAAGAAGGCUUUCGGGUUGUAAACCCCUUUCAGUUGGGACGAAGCUUCGACGGUGAAUAGCCGGCCGGAGUGACGGUACCUUCACAAGAAGCACCGGCUAACUACGUGCCAGCAGCCGCGGUAAUACGUAGGGUGCAAGCGUUGUCCGGAAUUAUUGGGCGUAAAGAGCGUGUAGGCGGCCCGAUUAGUCCGCUGUGAAAGUCCAGGGCUCAACCCUGGAAUGCCGGUGGAUACUGUCGGGCUAGAGUCCGGAAGGGGCGAGUGGAAUUCCUGGUGUAGCGGUGAAAUGCGCAGAUAUCAGGAGGAACACCAAUGGCGAAGCAGCUCGCUGGGACGUGACUGACGCUGAGACGCGAAAGCGUGGGGAGCAAACAGGAUUAGAUACCCUGGUAGUCACGCUGUAAACGAUGGCAACUAGAUGUGGGGGGUGUCGACUCCCCCGUGUCGAAGCUACGCAUUAAGUUGCCCGCCUGGGGAGUACGGCCGCAAGGCUAAAACUCAAAGGAAUUGACGGGGCCCGCACAAGCAGCGGAGCAUGUGGUUUAAUUCGACGCGACGCGAAGAACCUUACCUGGGCUGACAUGGGGAGUGACCGGCGUGGAAACACGU